GACGAACGCUGGCGGCGUGCCUAAUACAUGCAAGUCGAACGAGAGCGACCGGUGCUUGCACUGGUCAAUCUAGUGGCGAACGGGUGAGUAACACGUGGGUAACCUGCCCAUCAGAGGGGGAUAACAUCCGGAAACGGAUGCUAAAACCGCAUAGGUCUUCGAGCCGCAUGGCUUGAAGAGGAAAAGAGGCGCAAGCUUCUGCUGAUGGAUGGACCCGCGGUGCAUUAGCUAGUUGGUGAGGUAACGGCUCACCAAGGCCGUGAUGCAUAGCCGACCUGAGAGGGUGAUCGGCCACAUUGGGACUGAGACACGGCCCAAACUCCCACGGGAGGCAGCAGUAGGGAAUCUUCCGCAAUGGACGCAAGUCUGACGGAGCAACGCCGCGUGAGUGAAGAAGGUUUUCGGAUUGUAAAACUCUGUUGUUAGAGAAGAACAAGUGCUAGAGUAACUGUUAGCGCCUUGACGGUAUCUAACCAGAAAGCCACGGCUAACUACGUGCCAGCAGCCGCGGUAAUACGUAGGUGGCAAGCGUUGUCCGGAUUUAUUGGGCGUAAAGCGAGCGCAGGCGGUUCCUUAAGUCUGAUGUGAAAGCCCCCGGCUCAACCGGGGAGGGUCAUUGGAAACUGGGGAACUUGAGUGCAGAAGAGGAGAGUGGAAUUCCAUGUGUAGCGGUGAAAUGCGUAGAUAUAUGGAGGAACACCAGUGGCGAAGGCGACUCUCUGGUCUGUAACUGACGCUGAGGCUCGAAAGCGUGGGUAGCAAACAGG
rnacentral:rRNA from 1 species